AGAGUUUGAUCAUGGCUCAGAACGAACGCUGGCGGCAUGCCUAACACAUGCAAGUCGAACGAGGGCUUCGGCCCUAGUGGCGCACGGGUGAGUAACGCGUGGGAACCUGCCCUGUGGUACGGAAUAACUCCGGGAAACUGGAGCUAAUACCGUAUGCGUCCUGCGGGACAAAGAUUUAUCGCCAUGGGAUGGGCCCGCGUAGGAUUAGCUUGUUGGUGGGGUAACGGCCUACCAAGGCUUCGAUCCUUAGCUGGUCUGAGAGGAUGAUCAGCCACACUGGGACUGAGACACGGCCCAGACUCCUACGGGAGGCAGCAGUGGGGAAUAUUGGACAAUGGGCGCAAGCCUGAUCCAGCAAUGCCGCGUGAGUGAUGAAGGCCUUCGGGUUGUAAAGCUCUUUCGCACGCGACGAUGAUGACGGUAGCGUGAGAAGAAGCCCCGGCUAACUUCGUGCCAGCAGCCGCGGUAAUACGAAGGGGGCUAGCGUUGUUCGGAAUUACUGGGCGUAAAGGGCGCGUAGGCGGUACUUCAAGUCAGGCGUGAAAGCCCCGGGCUCAACCUGGGAACCGCGCUUGAGACUGGAGAACUAGAGUUCGGGAGAGGAUGGUGGAAUUCCCAGUGUAGAGGUGAAAUUCGUAGAUAUUGGGAAGAACACCGAUGGCGAAGGCAGCCAUCUGGACCGACACUGACGCUGAGGCGCGAAAGCGUGGGGAGCAAACAGGAUUAGAUACCCCGGUAGUCC
rnacentral:rRNA from 1 species